GGGCCCGUCGUCUAGCCUGGUUAGGACGCCGCCCUCACACGGCGGAGGUCCGGGGUUCAAAUCCCCGCGGGCCCACCA
rnacentral:tRNA from 10 species